ACGAAGUGUGUGAGCAGUGAGCCUCCCUCUCGACCUCUCCCACAACAGCUAUCAGUGUGUCACUCUUGAUCUCUCCCACGACAGUGUCAUUCGCUCUCGAUCACUCUCAUGACACCAUCACUCUCGAUCUCUGUCACAAGGUCACUCGCUUUCAAUCCCUCUUACGGCAUCGUUCGAUCUCUCUCAACAACGUUCAAUCUCAAGGUGUAAUUUGACUCUCUUGUUCACUCUCUCGUAGCGUUUGUUGCUUUUUUAAAUCUCAAGUUGCAAACACUCUCGAGUUUCUCUCUUACUCCCUUUGUUAGGUCUGGAUUUCAAUCAGUAUUAUGGCAAGCAUGAAACACAAGGUCUCAUGGCCAAGUGGGUCUAUGGAAGAAAUUCUUGGUGAGUUAGAGGAAAAUCCAUCAAGCCCUUGCCAAGCACCUUUUUCACAUAAGUUGAACAACAAUGGUUCUAGUCUGAAGCAAAAAAAAGUCCUAAGAGAUGCCUCAAAACCAAUGGCUUAAGUUCUUCUCAAUCAUCUUUUGCUCCUCAACUAUCGAAGAAACACAAGGUCUCAUGGCCAAGUGGGUCUAUGGAACAAAUUCUUGGUGAGUUAGAGGAAAAUGCAUCAAGCCCUUGCCAAGUACCUUUAUCACCUAAGUUGGACAAUAAUAGUUCAGUAGGAAGAAGAAAAGAGGUCUGAACAAGAUGCCUCAAAACCAAUGGCUUAAUCUAUGGAUAAUGAUUACAAGUUAGAUUGAAUGCACUUGGUUAACUAGUUGGUUGCUUUUGUGCUAAGUUGAGUAGUUAUUUGGGGAUACUAGCUAGGAAUGCACAUUUGGCUCCCAUGACAUACACAAAUUGGAAAACACUAAAACCAAAUUGGGAUGAUAUGUGGCAAAUAGUCACUGUAUUUUUUUCUUCUAAAUUAUGUUUUCCCCCUAAUUGUGCUAAGUAUUCAUUUCCUUGUAUUUUUGGUGCAGUCAAAGUUUGACAUUGAAGAAUGUGUCAAAAAAUGGGUUUUGGAAACUAUAUUUUAAGUUGGAGGACUCAUAAAUGUAGAUUAAUGAAAAAGUAUUUUAAGCUAAACAUGACUGAGGAUGCUAAUAUAAAGAAUGGACCGCCCAAUGUUCCUCUUGA